GAGUGGCGAACGGGUGAGUAACACGUGGGAAACCUACCUCUUAGCAGGGGAUAACAUUUGGAAACAGAUGCUAAUACCGUAUAACAAUAGCAACCGCAUGGUUGCUACUUAAAAGAUGGUUCUGCUAUCACUAAGAGAUGGUCCCGCGGUGCAUUAGUUAGUUGGUGAGGUAAUGGCUCACCAAGACGAUGAUGCAUAGCCGAGUUGAGAGACUGAUCGGCCACAAUGGGACUGAGACACGGCCCAUACUCCUACGGGAGGCAGCAGUAGGGAAUCUUCCACAAUGGGCGAAAGCCUGAUGGAGCAACGCCGCGUGUGUGAUGAAGGGUUUCGGCUCGUAAAACACUGUUGUAAGAGAAGAAUGACAUUGAGAGUAACUGUUCAAUGUGUGACGGUAUCUUACCAGAAAGGAACGGCUAAUUACGUGCCAGCAGCCGCGGUAAUACGUAUGUUCCAAGCGUUAUCCGGAUUUAUUGGGCGUAAAGCGAGCGCAGACGGUUAUUUAAGUCUGAAGUGAAAGCCCUCAGCUCAACUGAGGAAUUGCUUUGGAAACUGGAUGACUUGAGUGCAGUAGAGGAAAGUGGAACUCCAUGUGUAGCGGUGAAAUGCGUAGAUAUAUGGAAGAACACCAGUGGCGAAGGCGGCUUUCUGGACUGUAACUGACGUUGAGGCUCGAAAAGUGUGGGUAGCAAACAGGAUUAGAUACCCCUGGUAGUCCACACCGUAAACGAUGAGUGCUAGGUGUUUGAGGGUUUCCGCCCUUAAGUGCCGCAGCUAACGCAUU
rnacentral:rRNA from 1 species